AUGUUAUCACCGUCCCAUCUGAAGGUUCCUCCAGCGCAUCAGACAGGACUCCGGAGACAGCUACUCCUCCCUGGCGCUGGAAGAUCUGCCCUCAAACCGGCGUCUCUGCACUGCGCAUCACAACCUGGGCCUCAAUUGGGAGCUGCUUGGAACACGCUCGUUCUCCUCCACAGCGGCUCCUUCCUGCUUCCGGCGCGGGGCGCUGGUCUGCAGUACGAAGGAACUCCUGUGCCAAUGAUAUCCUGUUCCCUCCUCAUAAAGUUCAGAAAGAAAGGGAAAAAUUGA
rnacentral:lncRNA from 1 species